rnacentral:rRNA from 1 species
UACAUGGGGUGCAAACGUUGCUCGGAAUCAUUGGGCGUAAAGCGCGCGUAGGCGGUUACUUAAGUCGAAUGUGAAAGCCCUCGGCUUAACUGAGGAAGUGCAUCCGAAACUGAGUAGCUAGAGUACGAAAGAGGGUCGCGGAAUUCCCGGUGUAGAGGUGAAAUUCGUAGAUAUCGGGAGGAACACCGGUGGCGAAGGCGGAGACCUGGGGAGAUAUUGACGCUGAGGUGCGAAAGCGUGGGGAGCAAACAGG